AGAAGACCAGGAAAAGAUAAGGAUAAAGAAUGUCAUAUAUCUCAGGAGCUAGAUCACUUCCCGAUGAACAAGUCAGAAUUGCCUCAACAAAAAUGGAUGGAAUUGGACCGAAAAAGCCAUUCAGCUUCGUUAUCGAUUAGGUAUCAGUGGGAACAUCAAGAUGAAUGA
rnacentral:rRNA from 1 species